UACGUAGGGGGCGAGCGUUGUCCGAAGUUACUGGGCGUAAAGAGCGCGUAGGCGGUCUUUUAAGUCUGGUGUGAAAGGUUCAGGGCUCAACCCGAACAGUGCACUGGAUACUGGGAGACUUGAGUGCGGGAGAGGAGAGUGGAAUUCCUGGUGUAGCGGUGAAAUGCGUAGAUAUCAGGAGGAACACCCGUGGCGAAGGCGGCUCUCUGGCCUGCAACUGACGCUGAGGCGCGAAAGCGUGGGGAGCGAACGGG
rnacentral:rRNA from 1 species